UGAGUUUCCCUGAUGUUUUGAUGGACUAGCUGCUGGUUGUGAGAUCCAAUGAGUCUGAUGAUCUGAGUCUGAAGGUUGCACAGGUAAGACAUAAUCAAAUUAGUCUUAGUCUUAGUCUCACACUGAUAAUGCAAAGGACUUUUGGGGAACUAAAAAAGCAUGUUUUAAUGGUCUUUAGUAGAAAAAAUAUUGUUAUGAAUCAUGCUGAGCUUUUUUUUAAAACAGGUUUCAAGGCUGUAAUUGAAAACAAACAAAACAAGAAUUGGAUACCACAUGAUAUGCGUGAUACAGAGAUGAGAGAGAAUGAUUUAUUUUUGUGCACUCUGUUUUCCUAAUUAAACCUAUUAAAUGUUUCAUUAACCUGCAUUAGCAACAUUCAACACCAGCACCCAGGUUUUGCCUGGAGUUUGUGCCUUCUGUAACAACAGUUAACACUUUUGGACAGUUACUUGAGUUAUCAGCUGUCAAAUCCAAAAAUUAUACCCACAGAUUGUUUCAAGUAUGAUCAGUUGAUCUAGGUCAUAUCUCACUAUAGGUUCCUCCAUAACAGUUUAUCAAUAUUGACACUCAAACAUGCAACAAAAUAAUGAGCCAGCUAAUAUGUAAUACUGUAUAAUAUAUAAAUAAAAGAAGGAGAUAUUGAGUCUACCUCACUCUUGCCAGGGAGCAGGCGUAUUGUCCAUGUGACAAGUAAGAGGCACAUGAAUUUGGUAUACUGAUGAAGGCACGAGCCGAAAUGUUGGUCUGCUUGACUUCAGGUUCAAUUUUUGGUACAUUUUCUUUAGCCCUUUUGUGGUGUUUACAAUCAUUCUGAGUGGGUUUUAUUUCUUAAUUUUAAUUUUUCUCUGUAUUGAAUACACUUGGGGAAUUACUGAUUCCAAAGAAAUAAUUUCAUGCAGUGACCUUUUACCACUAUGUCUAUAGUAAUUAUACUAUAAAUUAUACUUGAAAGCUGACAACUGGGAUUCUAGUAUUAUACAAGCUCAGAUAAUGCCAGGUGGGUUCUGACAGAGAAGUUAUAACAAUUCAGUACUGAAGCAACCAUUCAGAAUGACUGGAAACAUUAUAGAAUAGGAAGAGACAAGACGAAUAGUGCAAUCAAAUUACAUUUUAAUCUAUUUAUCCUUUAACUUUAAUUUCGGUAAAAAAAAUAAAUAGCAAAUAUCACUUCAAGGUAACAUACUAAAUGAUUUAUUUGGCUUUCGUCCUUUAAGAGACGUUUAGGUAUAAGUUGUUGUUACAGCUAUGAGAUUAAAGAUACACAGCGCUGUUAAAAUCUAUUAAAGCAUGAGUUAUGGGAUCAAUUACCCUGUUACUCAAAUGAAUGGCGGAUUUAAGGUUUGUGUGCAUUAGUUGGAAGAUAACAAGAUUGCCUUUCUCAUGACAUAUACAAUAUAACAACAACAUAAAUUAUGUAUACAUUUGAUCUAAUGGAGUUACCAUUAUUACACUAAUAUAUGCCUGUCCUCAUGUUCAGAAUAGUAUUACUUUGAAAAAUAUGUAGCAAGCAUCUUCUCCUGUCACUGUCUCUAAGGCCCUGUCCACAAUACAUAACCGAUCGAGAGAAGUACUAAAAAUGUUUUUCAUUAUCCAGCUCAAAGCAUCCACACUAAAAUACUGUUUCAUGCUUAGUCGGGCUUAAUGUGUACAAACACUAUUAAAAUAGUUCAGUUACAGUUCCUAGCAGCACAAUGGACUGUGGGACUUAAUACGAUAGUAUUACAACCUUGCAAAUAUGGAGCCCGUGCCCACGGAAGACAUAGCGCUUCUUAGCAUAAAUGUUAUGGUUUGUUUGUUUCUUAGAAACCCAAGAUCAUAAUGUGUGCAUUUUGUUUUGAACUCUGAAGUUCUUAUUGACCAAUUUCAUCGAUCCAGAUAUCAAUGUGCAUUGAUUUCGACAUCUGAUCACGUCUCUCCAUGAUUCACCAUUUUACAGCAAGCCUCGGAAAUUGUAUACGGUACAGCAGUAUUGAUAGUCAUUUUCAACUCCUUCUGGCGCCUGUUCUGUACUGUAUUUGUAACGUCCACACGCCAAAACAUGUCGGAAAGCAUUUGGGGAUAUUAGUCUAUGCACAAAAAAUGUAGUUUGGUAUUACAGCGUCCACACUUCGGAAAAACCGCACUACCUGAUUCGAUCUAAUUUAGAACUAGACUCAAGACUGCCCCCCUGAGGUGGUCUCGAGCCCGGUUCUCGAAUACGGUACUAAACGCUAUGUAGUGUGGACGCUAACCGUAUUUAGCACUUUUAAGACGAUUUAAAGGCAACUAUUAUGGUUUAAAGGCAUAGUGUGUACAGGGCCUAAAUUGCAUCAAAGUUCCGGGUUACUCUGUUCAGCAUGCUGAAUUUUGUUAGCAAGGAGACUGCAAAGCUAGAUAGCAAGAAUGAAAAAAAUAAAAUGACUGCAUACUAUUGAACCUUUUUCAGGUGGAAACAUUAAGGUUGGCAAAUACAUAACCUCAGGAUUUUAUUUCUUUUGGAUUAGGCUUAUAUUUUUUAAUGUAUCACUAGACAUGGUUUAGUAAAACUUUAGAGUGCAAUGUGCAACUUUGCUUAAUCGAAUUUUCAUUAAUUUGAUUCCUGCAAUGUUUACUAAACUGCUUCUAUCAAAAUUCCCUCCUUCUGCAUUCAUUUUAUGCAAAAUGUUAAUGUGUCAAACUCAUGACACAAUUGAAUAAUUUUAGUAAAUCUUUUAGACAAAUUUUCCACAAAUCUUUUUCUGGGUUUAAACUUGAAAGAAUGAGAGAAAAUGUAAAAUUACAGUAGGCCUGUUCUUGAUUGUCUGUUUUGUUUCAGGUACCUACAGUAUUUAUUAGGGCCAGGCCCAAACCCAAAUUUCAGUUCAGCUUUGUUACAAAUGUGGACAUUUGAUGAUUGAGAAAGAAUGAAACUGAGUUACAAAUCUCCCUCCCGACCUGUGAGGACGCUGUGUAAAGGGAUCAGUGUGCCCCGGACUGGAUGGUUUGGCAAUUCAUUCCAGGGAAAGGUGGAAGUCAGCCAUCUAGAAAGGGGGCGGAGUCACAGUACAACAAGUCAUCGCCCCAGACGGGACGAUGUGGCAAUCGUGCAUUGGAGGAAAACGAUCGCACUCGCUAACCAAGGACGGCUAACACAUCCGGGAGCUGUCGCUUAAGGUCAGCAUCCAACCUGGACUUCACUGCACUCGUACUCGCUGAAUAAAUUGUAUUUCACCACUUGCACUUCAGCACUCACUCUGGGCUUGUGAUCGUGUUUGUGUUCUGUGUGUGUUUAAAUACUGUGUCUAUUAUUUUGGGACUGAAGCCUGUGUUUAACUGCGCAAUACACAUUGUUGUGUAUUGCCAGUCCUCCAUUAUUUUACUGUUGUCAAGUGACGUUGAAAGCCUACUUAUUUUAAAACACAGUCCUUUCAGUUAUGUAUUUUUGACAUUGUAUCUUUUUUUUGUGUUCCCUUAAAAAAUGGACAAGGGAUGGAAUGGGCCAAAAUGAAAUAAUCAGAUAUGUUGCACAAUCUUUUAACCAUCACUGAAGUCAAUAUGUUAUAGGGUCGGAUAUGUGAAUGCUGACUGUAACAGCAUAUAUUGCAGUUUGAUUUGAUUAUUACAGCAAAACUGCUCUGAAUCAACAGCAUGUUGUGCUGUGAAAAAACAACUUGCUGGGGCAGUCGUGCAGUCCUGCAUUUUUGCCAAGCAAAAACAUAUUUUGAGAAUUGGCACAAGAGCUUAGCACACUAGUGCACAGAUGUGUGGAGAUACAAAUCUCAAUCACACCAAAGCCAGUCAGAAGGUUAGGUCUGUUUCCUUGGUAACAAGGUUACUGAUUCCCUCUACAAGUAAGAAAGCUUGAAACUUGUAGAACCUUCUUUCUCCAUACACACUAGUUGGAUAUUAUUAUGAAUAGACUUGUUCCUUUUCAACAUUUAUUUUUCAAGGGCUCACAAAAUACUCCAAUAAAUCGCCUGGUAGAGUACAUAUUUGACUGGGGCUCUUAAUUGGAACACAAUGAAACCUGUUAAUUAUACAACAGGGUUUGCCACUUAUUUUGAUGAAUAAUUUUUGAACAGAUAACCUGAUAACACGUUGGGACAUCAGUUUCAUUUGCUGUGACUUACCUUAGCUUAGAGAAUCUACUCCCUGACCGCAUUCGGUCAGUCGAUGUUCAGAAGUAAAGUAAAUAGAAAAUGUUCGCAAUUGAAGAUUAACAGUGGCUCAAAUAUAAAUACGGUAUUUUUGUGAAUUUUCUGAAAAAAUAAAACGUUGAAAAGGAGCAUGUCUACUUAUAUACUGUUCAUUGAGUGCCUGUGGCAAGUUCAUUGAAGCUUUCAUUAAGAAGAUAUUACUUCCAAAGAUGUGAAGACAUUUAUCCUUCCAAUUAAGAAUGCAAAACUAAUAAACAAUGCUCAUUUCCUGCUCCCAGAAGCCAUUCAUUUCUAUCAUUUCACCAGCACUGUUG